GGGGGCGAAAUGGUUUCGACGGGGAUCGCGGAAGUGGGAUCAGCGAGCCGAAGCCCCGUGCUUCGUUAAAAACGGGAACUGUCUAAAAUAACUGACAACAAUCACACUCAACUCGCAGCUGCAUAAAGCAGCUACGCGUCCGCCCGAGGAAACUUACCGCUUCGGAACCGGGCGUCAUUAGGGUAGGGAACGAACCUGCGUAAGCUUUGCCGCAGGCCGGACUUUAUGAAGCUACCGUAACGCGGAGCCUGUCACCGGGCGCUGCGCGAGGGGAAUCCCAAAACAGUGACUGCGCUCGGAGAAGAUGCUGCCGACGGGUUUUCGGACGAGGGUUCAACUCCCUCCGCCUCCACCA
rnacentral:tmRNA from 1 species